UUAUCUGGUCAAGCGAAUGAUUAGAGGUCUUGGGGCUAAAUGAUCUCAACCUAUUCUCAAACUUUAAAUGGGUAA
rnacentral:ncRNA from 1 species